rnacentral:rRNA from 1 species
UACGUAGGGGACAAGCGUUGUCCGGAAUCACUGGGCUUAAAGGGUGCGUAGGCGGCUUGUUAAGUAGGGUGUGAAAUCCCCCGGCUCAACCGGGGAAUUGCGCCCUAAACUGGCGAGCUGGAGUGAGAUAGGGGUGUGUGGAACUUCCAGUGGAGCGGUGAAAUGUGUUGAUAUUGGAAGGAACGCCAGUGGCGAAAGCGACACACUGGGUCUCAACUGACGCUGAGGCACGAAAGCCAGGGGAGCAAACGGG